rnacentral:rRNA from 1 species
UACGGAGGGGGCGAGCGUUGUCCGAAUUCAUUGGGCGUAAAGCGCGUGUAGGCGGACUUCCAAGCCUGAGGUGAAAGGUUGGGGCUCAACCCCAUACAGUGCCUUGGGGACUGGUUGUCUGGAGGCAGGCAGAGGUAUGUGGAAUUCCUGGUGUAGCGGUGGAAUGCGUAGAUAUCAGGGGGAACACCCAUGGCGAAGGCAGCAUACUGGGCCUGUACUGACGCUGAGACGCGAAAGCGUGGGUAGCAAACGGG